CCCCCCCCCCCCCCCAAUUGAUACUGCUCUUGUUCUUUAAAUCCUAUGUACUCCGUGGCUGGAAACCUGGAGAUCGUCAUCACGACCGAGAUCCUGAGAUAGCUUGGCUAUCUGCACCAUCUGAACUGUGUUGCCAUCUUCUGAACUUUCCCGACCACGAACUGUUACCCUCUCCAACAGCCGUCCCAGGAGAAGACUCUUGAAACGACUGUUCCGAAAUGAAAUGCCAUGUGUUGUAUACCCUGUUGAUAUGUUUUGUGUGUAAAGGGAAAUUGUGACAUCGACAGCCAUCAUGAGGUUCACAGAGAUAACACCUUCUUGCAGGCUGCGCACGGUUUGGCCAAAGCUAAAGGAGUGCAAGCUUGUUGGGUUUGUGGGUUAAUGCAAACCUCCUCACAGGUACCACCUUACAUUGCUGUCCCCUUCACAAUCCCUGAAUACACUGCUGCCUAUGGAACACCCUCCAUAGAUGCCCCCUUUUACACGGUGCCCAUGGACACAGGUCCCCCCACUAAGAUUAGAUUGAGCUACGCCCCGUAGGAAUUAUUUGCUGGGUUAACUCCGGCAAUGGACAGGUUAUGGGUAAUAGUACAUGUACCUACACUACUGACGUAGGCAGCCCUGGUAUUCAGAUCGAGCAAGAUGGUGUCACGAUUGAAGUCCCCCUCCCUACGAGGGUGGCCGCAGACCAUCGUAUAAAAGACACUGACACCAUGCUUGCAUUAAAUGGGUCCAUGUUUGUAUGUGGGUCCACUGCUUACUCUUACCUCCCUGUCUCCUGGUCGGGUUCCUGCUAUAUGGCCUACGUGGUCCCUGCUCUAGGAAUUGAAGAUGAAAAGCAUAUCAAAGGUGAUGCCACUGGUCAGAGCAGAUCCAAGCGUGAUCUGUUUGGUAAUAAUUCCCCCAUUGCUACCCCAACACAGAAACAUUUCCUUUUCUAAGGAACUGGAGUCACAUGCGCUUGACAAUCCGUCAGAAGAAUCCGCAGGGAUCUGGCCUCAAAACAAGCAACCGCUUGCUUUUGCGUACUCCUGCUGACAGACGCAAACAUGAAUGUGUGUGAAACAAAAAAUUUGUGCAGUGUUUAUUUGUAAUUUGCAUCCAGGAGCUAUUCGUUUUGCUGUUUCAGAAAUUCCACUGCGUAUCCACCCUAUCAUUACACACAUUACGCAAAGUUAACACAAGGAGGACGACGCUGAAGAUACCUUUCCUAACAUAAAAGCAAUUACAGUCUUAAGAUACUGAGGAUAAGAUCUGUUGGGAACACUGAGCUCUAACCGCAGAAACUGUAUGUUUACAUCGUGAAGGAGAAAACCGCUAGUUUAGAUCUCAACACUAUGGAAUGUGCCCAUGAGACGAAAACAUCUUGUCAGUUUUACAACUUUAUUUGUGAACUUCACGAACAUUGCUUGUAUUGUAUAGUUUUACUAGUGUGAUUAGAUAUUAAGCGCUCAGUACGUUUCUGAAGCCCGUCGUGUUGUCCCAUUCAACACAUUUCACUGUUUUCUGUAGUACUACUACGCAAGGCGCAGCACACACCAUAACCGCUUAAUUCAUUAACUUUGUUGACAUGUUUGUGCGUCAUGCCAAACAUUACUAAUCUAAUUGAGGGAGUUGGUUUAUCUAUAGCCAUAUAUAGUAACCGUUAACGUAACUCGCCAGCCCUGCACGAAUGUUUUUCUCCAACUGUAUCACGCGUAGAGGGCGAGUAAUAGGCAGCUCAGGCUCCGCUAAUUUGGGCACAACUGCGUGCGGAUGAAAUGCGUCUCAGUUUGGAUGAUUGAAAUCAGACAUUUUGUUGAAUGGGCUUCGUUGGGGUGUGAGCUUUUUAUUUGGAAUGAAAAUGGGCAUUUCUCCGCAGGAUUCCAAACCCAACUCAGUUCACCACAGAUAUCUCCUGGCAGCUAGCUUGUGACGGUCCAUCCUGCUUGACCUGCCCCAUCUCCGUCGCUGAAGAUGGCCCCUUGCCUUGUCCUACUCUCCCUGUGGCUUCUGGUUGGCUGCUGCCUGACCCAGGGCACCGGUGCCAGCGGCAUCGACAUCGCUGCCAACCUGGGCAGCGUCCUGCCCACACUCUCACGCCCUGCCAACGCCAGCCGCAUCUUCUACGGGGUGAUGUUUGACGCAGGGAGCACUGGCACACGCAUCCACAUCUACACCUUCAUCCUGUCUGCACCAGACGAGCUGCCCGUUCUGGAUAAUGAAAUGUUCCACAACGUUAAGCCUGGUCUGUCUGCGUUUGCUGACACGCCUGAGAUUGCUGGAGAGACGGUGCGGCAGCUGCUGCGAGUGGCAAAGAAGACGGUUCCCCGUCUGGAGUGGAAGAGAACCCCAGUGGUGCUGAGAGCCACCGCCGGCCUCAGGCUCCUCCCACCUAAGAAGGCCCAGGCCCUACUGGACCAGGUUCAAGAUGCCUUUGAUGAAUCCCCUUUCCUGGUUCCCGAGGACAGCGUCACCAUCAUGAACGGCACCAGCGAAGGGAUCCUUGCCUGGGUGACGGUGAACUACCUGACUGGUCACCUCCAGGCGAAGAGCAAAACCACAGCGGGGAUCCUGGACCUUGGCGGAGGAUCUACUCAAAUCACCUUUUUGCCCAAACUCAAGAAAACCACUGAAAGCGCUCCUGCAGAUCACAUAGCCAAGUUUGAUCUCCUUACUACAACAUACAAGCUCUAUAGUCACAGCUACCUGGGGAAUGGAAUCAAAGCAGCUCGUCUGGCCGCGCUGGGCGCUUUGGGAGCUGAAGGCCUAGAGUGGAAGGUGUUUAAGAGCUCCUGCCUGCCUAAGAAGUUCCAGGAAGACUGGGGUUUUGGAGGCCUCGUCUAUAAGAUCAGUGGAAUCCAUGAUGGUUAUGCUGGGUACCGGCUGUGCUACCUGGAGAUGGAGCGUGUGGUGAAGGGCAUCGUGCACCAGCCCUACGAGCUCAAGGACUCCAGCGUCUUCUACGCCUUCUCCUACUACUUUGACAUCGCUGCAGCGGCUGGCCUCAUAGAUGAGAGCCAGGGUGGGAUGGUGAAGGUCUCUGACUUCAAGAGGAGAGCCAAAGAAGUCUGCAACAAAAUGGCCAAGCAUCGAGUGGAGAGUCCUUUCCUCUGCAUGGACAUCACGUACAUCACCUGCCUGCUGAAAGAUGGCUUCGGCUUCAAGGACCACACCGUGUUACAGUUGACUAAGAAGGUGAAUGCUGUAUAAUAACAUGAUGAAGUGAAUAUUGUAAUUGGUCUCUCCUGUAGUUGACUAAGAAGGUGAAUGCUGUAUAAUAACAUGAUGAAGUGAAUAUUGUAAUUGGUCUCUCCUGUAGUUGACUAAGAAGGUGAAGACGGUGGAGACCAGCUGGGCACUGGGGGCCAUGUUGGACCACUUCCAGAGCAUCAGAAUCCACUGAGGACGCUCCGUGGCUGGACACACACACACACACACA